rnacentral:rRNA from 1 species
UUAGAGGAAGUUAAGUCGUAACUCGUUUCCGUAGGUGAACCUGCGGAAGGAUCAUUAACGAAUUGCGUWCGAGGUUGUUGCUGGCUUCCCCCAAGAAGCAUGUGCACACCUUGUAAUCCAUUUCAACCUCACUCGUGCACUUCAGAGGACCGUCAGGUUCUCUUUUAUUACACAAACCUUUAUUAUUGUCCAUGUAGAACGUGUUUAUUAAACAUAUACAACUUUCAACAACGGAUCUCUUGGCUCUCGCAUCGAUGAAGAACGCAGCGAAAUGCGAUAAGUAAUGUGAAUUGCAGAAUUCAGUGAAUCAUCGAAUCUUUGAACGCACCUUGCGCUCCUUGGUAUUCCGAGGAGCAUGCCUGUUUGAGUGUCGUGUAAUUCUCAAUCCCGUUUGGUUUUGAAUCAGACGUGGCUUGGAUUUGGGAGCUUGCUGGUACUCUACAUUGUGGGGUUCGGCUCUCCUUGAAUGCAUUAGCUCGGUCACGUUAGUUGCCCGACGGUUCACGGUGUGAUAGUUUAACUUCAUCGCCGUUGUGACCGCCUCGGUGCCUGUGCCUGCCGGCUUCUAAUCUGCUGUGUCUCUUUAGAUGCGCAUACACUUUGACAAUUGACCUCAAAUCAGGUAGGACUACCCGCUGAACUUAAGCAUAUCAAUAAGCGGAGGAAAAGAAACUAACAAGGAUUCCCCUAGUAACUGCGAGUGAAGCGGGAAAAGCUCAAAUUUAAAAUCUGGCGGGUUCCCCGUCCGAGUUGUAAUCUGGAGAAGCGUUUUCCGUGUCGGACCGUGUACAAGUCCCUUGGAAUGGGGCGUCAUAGAGGGUGAGAAUCCCGUCCAUGACACGGACUACCGAUGCUUUGUGAUACGCUCUCGAAGAGUCGAGUUGUUUGGGAAUGCAGCUCAAAAUGGGUGGUAAAUUCCAUCUAAAGCUAAAUAUUGGCGAGAGACCGAUAGCGAACAAGUACCGUGAGGGAAAGAUGAAAAGCACUUUGGAAAGAGAGUUAAACAGUACGUGAAAUUGUUGAAAGGGAAACGCUUGAAGUCAGUCGCGUCCGUCGAGACUCAGCCUUGCCUUUGGGCCUGGUGUAUUUCUCGGUGGACGGGUCAACAUCGAUUUUGAAUGGCAGAUAAAGGUCUGGGGAAUGUGGCACCUCCGGGUGUGUUAUAGCCCCUCUCCGUAUAUGCUGUUUGGGAUCGAGGACCGCAGCACGCCCUUGUGGCCGGGGUUUUACCCACGUACCGUGCUUAGGAUGUUGGCAUAAUGGCUUUAAGCGACCCGUCUUGAAACACGGACCAAGGAGUCUAACAUGCCUGCGAGUGUUAGGGUGCAAAACCCUUGCGCGUAAUGAAAGUGAAAGUUGGGACCUCUGUCGAGGAGGGCACCGACGCCCGGCCCUGAACUCUUGUGACGGUGCUGCGGUAGAGCAUGUAUGUUGGGACCCGAAAGAUGGUGAACUAUGCCUGAAUAGGGCGAAGCCAGAGGAAACUCUGGUGGAGGCUCGUAGCGAUUCUGACGUGCAAAUCGAUCGUCAAAUUUGGGUAUAGGGGCGAAAGACUAAUCGAACCAUCUAGUAGCUGGUUCCUGCCGAAGUUUCCCUCAGGAUAGCAGAAACUCAUAUCAGAUUUAUGUGGUAAAGCGAAUGAUUAGAGGCCUUGGGGUUGAAACAACCUUAACCUAUUCUCAAACUUUAAAUAUGUAAGAACGGGCCGUCUCUUGAUUGGACCGCUCGGCGAUUGAGAGUGUCUAGUGGGCCAUUUAUGGUAAGCAGAACUGGCGAUGCGGGAUGAACCGAACGCGAGGUUAAGGUGCCGGAAUGCACGCUCAUCAGACACCACAAAAUGUGUUAGUUCAUCUAGACAGCAGGACGGUGGCCAUGGAAGUCGGAAUCCGCUAAAGAGUGUGUAACAACUCACCUGCCGAAUGAACUAGCCCUGAGAAUGGAUGGCGCUCAAGCGUGCUACCCAUACCUCGCCGUCAGCGUUGAAGUGACGCGCUGACUAGUAGGCAGGCGUGAGGUCGUGAAGAGGCC